AGCAUCUCUGUGCCUCUGGACCUUCAGACAAAGGCAAUGCUUUCUCAAGCAUUUGACACAGAAGCCAGGUUGCUGGUUUUGAAUGUGAAGUUUGGGUUUUGUUUACUACAGAAACAUAAUUUAGAUAAAAAGAAAGGAAGUAUUUCUUUGGACAGUUCCUUGUUUUCUAAAUGAGUUUGCUGUUCUAUUUCUCCUCAAAGUGCCUCUGACAGGUAAGAGACUUCAUUCAAUGCUUUUUCUUUCUUUUUAAUAAUGAGGAUUGAACUUAGGGUCUUGCCCAUGGUAACCCUAUCGCUAAAUUACGUCUUUAGCCCUCUUCUUACUUUUGAGAUAAGGACUCACUAAAUUGCCCAUGCUGGUCUCAUUCUGUAGCCCAGGGUAGCCCUGAAGGUCUUUAACUUUCAGUCUUCCUGCCUUGCCUUUGUGAGUACCUGGGGCUAUAUAUAGGCUUUGACUAAGCUCAGAAAUACUAAAUGAUGUCUGCGCCCCCUCCUCUCCAGGUUUUCUCCCUGGUUGAAUCCAGCUGCUCACUAAUGCUAUCAAGGCAGAUGUCUUGGACUACUUGACACCCCCACCCCAACUGCCGCUGCUGCCGCCGCUGCUACCACCACCACCACCCCAGGUGAUCAAGACAAGACCCUUCCUUCUCAUCCAUAGCUUAACCAUGAAGUGUGUUUUAUUAGAGAUUCAACUUGUUUAAAAACAUUAUCAGAGCAAUUCUCUUUCCACCAUAUCCUAUUUAUUUAGCGUGCCUCUGUACAUAUACAUACAUGCCACAUACAGGCAGGUGGACAUCAGAAUACAACUUCUGGGAGCCAGCACUUCCUUUCUACCACGUGGGUUCCAGAUAUCAAACUCAACCUGUCAGGCAUGGCAGCAAGCACCAUCCUGCCAGCCCCUAAAGCAAUUCUUUUGCUCUAGGAAAUGUUACAUUUCCUCAAGAAGCAAAAACUAUUUUCACAGAACCCUGAUUGUUAUUUAAACUUCAUACGGACACACCAUCUAUGCCCUUUAUAAUGAAACAAUAUUAACCCAUCAUUUUAAUGAUUGUUUUUUUUCCCUUUACCUUGUUGUCCACUCAUAGCCAAUGGCAGUAUAAAAUAAACAAAAACCCAAACCAUGGCCUUGCUACCUCCUCCAGGGUGCUCAGCUGUCUGCCUCAGCAGCUGACCUACUCCGUGUCCUUGUGCUGGAAUAAGCAAGGGCCGGUGUUCAGGAAGAAAGGACAUAGUAUGCUCCCAUGCAUCCAGAGGUCGGUCCAUGGACUGAUUGGAGAUGGAUUGAACAAGAUAUCGGGAGGCACGUGUAGAAAUGGCUAGCAUUCUGUUAGCUGUAGAGUCCAGCAAACAUUAGUCUGUGGUCAGCUGGAUAUGAAAACAAAUUCAUUCUUUCAUCCCAGAGUUUGAAGCAGUGAACUAAGUAGCCAUCCUGUGGGUGGGAUGUAGCAAUGUAGUAAUGUCUGGAUUCCUUUCCUAGUAUCCUCACUAGUCUAGCAAACUCUACAUCAUAAAAUAUUUCUUAAAAAUGCAAAAAAAAAAAAAAAAAUCUCAAGCCACCCACUUGCCCCCAAGCCAAGAUUCUGUGCAGAUAAGCAAAGUCUGGUGUUUUCCAAUUUCAUGAGCCAACAAUUCAUCGCCCGGUGAAGAAAGUUCUAGAUUCUCAGUUUAACUGCUGAAGUUGUAGUGUUCUGCUUGACCCACAUUCUAAGAAUUUUGCCAAAUCUGUCCAUACAGUUGGUGGUUUUGGCCUCUAUCUCUCCACGGUAAGAUUGUUUAAGGCUUGGGCUUCCUGCUUGACUCUAGUCAGCACAGACAGUAGGGAUGCCUGGGACUCUGUUGGCUCUUGCAUAAGCAAUGAAGUUCACACAACGAAGAUAAAUUCUAAAGUCUCUCCUCUUCCUCCCCUCCUCUUCCAACCCCACCUUACCCCACCCCUUCCUCCUCUUUCCCUGUAUUAGGGAUUUAACGUAGAGACUCUACCACUGGCCUUGAACUUACUUUGUAGUCCAAUCCAGCCUUGAACUCUCAGUCUUCCUGCCUUAGUCUCCUGAGUAGCUGGGACUGCAGGCCUGGAGCUCCUCUUCAAGCCAAGUUAAUUAUAGCGGGAGAAAGACUGCUGGGCCACAUAGCUGCACAUAGCCGCCAGCAGCGGAGAGAAAUCUGAAGCCAGGGUGGUGGUGGCAGAUGCCAUUAAUUCAAGCACCCAGGAGGCAGAGAUCAGCAGAUCUCUGUUCAAGGCCAACCUGCUCUACAGAGUUCCAGGACAGCCAAGGCUACACAAAGAAAUGUCUCAAAAACCCAAAAACUACAUAACAAAAAUAAUAAACUGGAGAGAUGGCUCAGUUAAGAGCA